UAUCUACUGCCACCACCCUGCUCCAGGAAUGGCCUUAUCGUCCUAACCCUCCAAGACACAACUCUCUAAAAUGAACUUUCCUUCCCCUUUGCCCAGUGAAUAGGAGGUGGGGGCGAGCUGGGCAGGAGCACCCUGGGGCCUCCCUCUCCCUCUGACCCCAGGGCUGAGCAGGGCUUCCUGUAUUUCAGGUCACUGCCAGACAGAGGAGUCACAAGAGGUGACCUGACGUGCUGCCACGGAAUCUGAACACUCAGAGAGCAUCGUGGGCCCAUCUGCUUGGGGACCUACACCAGGAAGCCAGUGGGUAUCACUGGAAAGGACCCAGCUUCAUCAUGGACCCCAGACUUCAGCCUGGACCCCAGAACACCGGCCUGGACAAACAGAAACCACUGCCUAGCACUCGGCAAGCCCCGGGAGUCACCUGGAGCCAGCUGAAAAAGCUACAGCAACAAGCGGAAGCCGUUCUUCAAAACGUGGGCAUGCCCAUCACCCCAGAAAAUCGAUUUCUCGCCUACCUCAGCGUGAUUUCUCAAAAUAGUCAGAAGUCCUAGCUUUCCGAGCCAGCCGCCUCUGGACGACUUGGGGAUCCCGAGCCCGCCCUGGCGCACCCCAGGCUCUUUCUGCUGACCACUCUCCAGCUUCGUCAAAUCAGAAGGGGAAGCGUCAGGGAGCAGUGGAGGGCUGUGGAUUGAUGAGCUCUGAAUGAACGACUGCCCUCCUGCGGGAUGACGGGAGGCCACGGCAUGGGCGUGUGCGCUGAGGAACGUGCCUCCAGCUCCAGGGCAUGCUGUCCUCCUCGGGUCCCCGAGCCACACACCCCCUUAUCUACUGCCACCACCCUGCUCCAGGAAUGGCCUUAUCGUCCUAACCCUCCAAGACACAACUCUCUAAAAUGAACUUUCCUUCCCCUUUGCCCAGUGAAUAGGAGGUGGGGGCGAGCUGGGCAGGAGCACCCUGGGGCCUCCCUCUCCCUCUGACCCCAAGGGCUGAGCAGCGCUUCCUGUGCUUCAUUCAGGUCACUGCCAGACAGAGGAGUCACACUAUCGUGAAUAAAGAAC